rnacentral:lncRNA from 1 species
AUGUCCUGCUGAUUGUACCUCACUAUUUCCUUCCCACAGUAAAUUGCUGUCUUGGAUUUUAUGUUUGUAAUCCUUUAUUUUUCCUUAUAUUUACUUUAAACAAUAUAUUUUGUUUGUUUUUAAACUUUAGGUAAAUGGACUCAUACUGUUAGUAAUUCUUUCUGACUUUUAUCAUUUCAAGAUUAAUCCAUCUUUGUAGCAGUAUAUUUUUAAAGCUAAGUAAGUGGUAUUUCAUGGUAUAAACUAUCACAUUUGAUCAGUUUUACUCCUAACAUGUUAUGAACAGUGCUGGUUUAAAUGUUGUAACACAUUUUCAUGGUUUUCUCUUAGGGUAUUGACCUACAAAUGCAAGUGCUAGGUUAUGGCAUGUCUGUUCCGUUUUACUAGAUAAUGCCAUCCUGUUCCAAAGUGAUUACAUCAGUUUAUGCUCUUACUGAUAGUACAUGAGUUCCAGGUAUACCACAUUCUCCCCAACACUGGACUUAUUUUGGUGAAAGAUACUCCUUAUGGUUCUAUUAUAUUUCCUUAGCUAAUAAGAAUAAUUGAGUAUAAUUGUAUGUGUUUUGGGGCAUUUGUGGCUCUUCUAUUAAAUGUCUAUUCUUAACUUUUGACUUUCUCAAUUCGGUUAUCCUUUUGUUUGCUUUUUGGUCUGCUUGAGCUGUUCAUUACUUUGAGAGGUGUUACUAAAAUCUUCUAUGAAGAUAGACUUGUAGAUUGUCCUUUGCUUAUCUAUUUUGAGGUUGUUACUAAGUGUAUACAGGUUUUAUGCUCAUGGUGACUAUAUCAUUAUAUAGUUAUUCUAUCUUUUAUUAUUUUUGGCCUUAACAUUUGUUUCACUUGAUAUUAACAUAGCAAUGCCAGC